UUAUUCAUAAAAAAAUUAAUAGUAAUCAAUCCAUAGUUUCAAUAAAAUGACAAUUUUUUUCUGAAACAAAUGUUUGAUAGAAAGAAGAAGAAAAAAUAUAGAAAAAAUAUUUUGCUUCUUUUUCUAUACAUUUUCUUACCCCCCCUCCUCAUUACUAAUCAGUUUUAUUUCCAGACAAUUAUUGUAAUCGCGCGCAAUGCGAUCGGUAGAUUCAGUGUUUGUUUCGUAACAGUUUUUUAAUAUUUUAGAGCACAAUAGCUCUAAUUAAAUUUAUUUAUCAAAGUCGGGAAAUUAGAGUCAGUGUUUGUUCGUCGAUUGUAAAUUAAACGGACGCGUUAAUAGUUUUUUAUUUUUUAUUUUUUUUUUAUUUUUAAUAUUCGUUUUCGGUACAGAGUAGAAUCAGUGCUUCUCGAAGGAAUAAAGCAGUCAUCCAUCACGCGAAGAGGUGCCUGACUUUGCCGGUAUUAUGAACAUUUCUACUGGACUUUAAUUUUAAAAAAUAUUUGUGACCGCGUGCAAUGCGGUCUGUAGAUUCAGUGUUUGCUUCGUAACAGUUUUUUAAUAUUUUAGAGCACAAUAGCUCUAAUUAAAUUAUUCAUAAUUAUUCGCGAAACUAGAGUCAGUGCUUGGUCGUCGCCUAUGUUUCAAAUCGACGCGAUGGUAGUUUAUUUUUUAUUUUAUUUUUUUAAACAUUCGUUUUCGGUACAGGAUAGAGUCAGUGUUUCUCGAAGGAAUAGGGCAAUCAUCCACCACGCGAAGAGUUUCCAAUUCCUGAUGAUGAUUACUUUGGCGAUGACAUCUUGGACCACAACAAUGCAGAUUCUUCGCAUCAUUGGUGAGUCGCAUGCAUUUAUGUUCCUCCGAUCAUUCAAUCAUGUCGUAGGAUGAAAGAUCCGAAUCGACACGAGUGAUUGGUUGUAUACGUAGAUUUUUGCACGAGCACAGUGACCAUGGGUAUUUAUCAUACCCGUGAAUAGUAACAUUUUUUUCUUUUGUAUUUUAUUUAUUAGAUCAGGAUAGAUCUUCUUGCACGUCGCGUUUUUAAGAUAAUAUUGAUAGUUAAUAUUAUAUAAUAUAUAUCUAGUUAUUUUAAUAUGAUUAGU